GUGUCAGCCGCCGCGGUAAUACGUAGGGUGCAAGCGUUGUCCGGAAUUAUUGGGCGUAAAGAGCUCGUAGGCGGUUUGUCACGUCGGAUGUGAAACCCCGGGGCUCAACCCCGGGCCUGCAUUCGAUACGGGCAGACUAGAGUUCGGCAGGGGAGACUGGAAUUCCUGGUGUAGCGGUGAAAUGCGCAGAUAUCAGGAGGAACACCGGUGGCGAAGGCGGGUCUCUGGGCCGAUACUGACGCUGAGGAGCGAAAGCGUGGGGAGCAAACAGGAUUAGAAACCCUGGUAGUCC
rnacentral:rRNA from 1 species